GGGACACGUGGUAUCCUGUCUGAAUAUGGGGGGACCAUCCUCCAAGGCUAAAUACUCCUGACUGACCGAUAGUGAACCAGUACCGUGAGGGAAAGGCGAAAAGAACCCCGGCGAGGGGAGUGAAAAAGAACCUGAAACCGUGUACGUACAAGCAGUGGGAGCACCUUCGGGUGUGACUGCGUACCUUUUGUAUAAUGGGUCAGCGACUUAUAUUCUGUAGCAAGGUUAACCGUAUAGGGGAGCCGCAGGGAAACCGAGUCUUAACUGGGCGUUAAGUUGCAGGGUAUAGACCCGAAACCCGGUGAUCUAGCCAUGGGCAGGUUGAAGGUUGGGUAACACUAACUGGAGGACCGAACCGACUAAUGUUGAAAAAUUAGCGGAUGACUUGUGGCUGGGGGUGAAAGGCCAAUCAAACCGGGAGAUAGCUGGUUCUCCCCGAAAGCUAUUUAGGUAGCGCCUCGUGAAUUCAUCUUCGGGGGUAGAGCACUGUUUCGGCUAGGGGGUCAUCCCGACUUACCAACCCGAUGCAAACUACGAAUACCGAAGAAUGUUAUCACGGGAGACACACGGCGGGUGCUAACGUCCGUCGUGAAGAGGGAAACAACCCAGACCGCCAGCUAAGGUCCCAAAGUCAUGGUUAAGUGGGAAACGAUGUGGGAAGGCACAGACAGCCAGGAUGUUGGCUUAGAAGCAGCCAUCAUUUAAAGAAAGCGUAAUAGCUCACUGGUCGAGUCGGCCUGCGCGGAAGAUGUAACGGGGCUAAACCAUGCACCGAAGCUGCGGCAGCGACACUAUGUGUUGUUGGGUAGGGGAGCGUUCUGUAAGCCUGCGAAGGUGUGCUGUGAGGCAUGCUGGAGGUAUCAGAAGUGCGAAUGCUGACAUAAGUAACGAUAAAGCGGGUGAAAAGCCCGCUCGCCGGAAGACCAAGGGUUCCUGUCCAACGUUAAUCGGGGCAGGGU
rnacentral:rRNA from 1 species